rnacentral:rRNA from 1 species
UACGGGGGGAGCAAGCGUUGUUCGGAUUUACUGGGCGUAAAGGGCGCGUAGGCGGUCAGCACAAGUCAGUUGUGAAAUCUCCGGGCUUAACUCGGAAAGGUCAACUGAUACUGUGCGACUAGAGUGCGGAAGGGGCAACUGGAAUUCUCGGUGUAGCGGUGAAAUGCGUAGAUAUCGAGAGGAACACCUGCGGCGAAGGCGGGUUGCUGGGCCGACACUGACGCUGAGGCGCGACAGCGUGGGGAGCAAACAGG